UACGUAGGUGGCAAGCGUUGUCCGGAUUUACUGGGCGUAAAGAGCGCGCAGGCGGUCGUUCAAGUCGCGUGUGAAAGCCCCCGGCUCAACUGGGGAGGGUCACGCGAUACUGAUCGACUCGAAGGCAGGAGAGGGAAGUGGAAUUCCCGGUGUAGUGGUGAAAUGCGUAGAUAUCGGGAGGAACACCGGUGGCGAAGGCGGCAUCCUGGACCGGUAUUGACGCUGAGGAGCGAAAGCCAGGGGAGCAAACGGG
rnacentral:rRNA from 1 species